CCUACGGGAGGCAGCAGUGAGGAAUAUUGGUCAAUGGACGCAAGUCUGAACCAGCCAUGCCGCGUGCAGGAAGACGGCUCUAUGAGUUGUAAACUGCUUUUGUACGAGGGUAAAUCCCGAUACGUGUAUCGUGUUGAAAGUACCUUACGAAUAAGGAUCGGCUAACUCCGUGCCAGCAGCCGCGGUAAUACGGAGGAGUCAAGCGUUAUCCGGAUUUAUUGGGUUUAAAGGGUGCGUAGGCGGUUCGAUAAGUUAGAGGUGAAAUCCCGGGGCUCAACUCCGGCACUGCCUCUGAUACUGUCGGGCUAGAGUUUAGUUGCGGUAGGCGGAAUGUCUGGUGUAGCGGUGAAAUGCAUAGAGAUCAUGCAGAACACCGAUUGCGAAGGCAGCUUACCAAACUACGACUGACGUUGAGGCACGAAAGCGUGGGGAGCAAACAGGAUUAGAUACCCCAGUAGUC
rnacentral:rRNA from 1 species